GGGGUUGUGUCUCGGUGGCAGAGCGCUCGCCUAGCAUGUGCGAGGCCCUGGGUUCGAUCCUCAGAACCACA
rnacentral:tRNA from 1 species